ACAAAAAUCAACACACCAUUGCUGCUUGACUUUAUUUAGCUUGAGGAUGUUGUUUACCGAAAUGACACCAAAGAAAAGUGAAUAUAGUGAAGGUUAGCAAAGGGAAAGUUUAUUGAGGGGGAUUGUCUUUCACACACAAAAAUCAACACACCAUUGCUGCUUGACUUUAUUUAAAUCUCUUCCUCAUUACAAAGUUGCCAGCAAGUCUAAGGAAGUACAGGUAAUCAGGUAAAAUAAAGAAAGGAUUCUCUUUCCCGCCGCUGCCAGAGGGCGAGGCCGACAGCCGCCAAACAGUGUACAAUACGCGACAGAGAGAGGAACAGAAACAAAGCUUGGUUCCCAUUGGUCGUUGUGAGUGAAUGCUGAGUUGUGAUUGGCUGGAUCCGCCCGCCCCCUGAGAGCCGCGGGACUUUCGAACACACAAACACGCGCCUCUCCGAACUGCUUACACGCUACCUACCGACACUUUGGGCUACUUAUUUCAUUCAUUGCCGCUUCCUAUUCAUGGUGUUUUUUUCUCCCGUUUGAUAGUUCUUUUUAGUUAGUGUUUUUUGACGCCUCAUGUGCUGUGCGAAUAAAUAAUAACCCUAAUAAUUUAUGUCCAACGCCUAAUGAAAUGUGGAAAAAAACAGGGUUAGUACAUAUUUCAUGGCUAUUUCUACACUUGUUUUGAUCUCUAUACUCUUUCUUCUGGUUUUACUAAAGGCUUGAAGAUUACUUAAAACUCUAUAUGAGGACAGAAGAGCAGUUGGUUAAGUAGGAAACGAAAUAUCUGCUUGUUAAUAAAUAAUACCAAUCUAUAACCUAAUUGUCGUGGUUAUAUUAUGGUUAUUAUCAAUUUGCACAACAACUAAAGUCUCAAAACACUCUAAUGAACUAAAAAAAUAUAUAAAAUGGAAGAAGAAAAAACAAAAAACAGGAAGCGGCAGUAGAGGAAAUACCUACCCAUUUUUUUAUUAACUUUUUUUUUAUUUAUUUUCCUGAUUUCUCCUUAUUGCAUUAUGUUGACGCCCACAUCAUCAUUAACCUUACACAUGUUUUUUUUGGCUUACUAUAUUAUUAUGAUUAUUAUUUAAUGACUCCUCCUCUUAACAUUCUCAUUAAUAAUCAACGAACGACGAACGAAGAAUAAUAAUUACAUUUUGUUUUUUUACACCACAAUGUUACCAAAAAAAAAAAAAAAAAAAAGGGAACAAGGGAUAAUUUGGGGACUUGUUUAAUUCACACCUUGAUAGAUUUGCAUGAUGCCUCCCUCCCUCUCUCCUUUUCUCUUUUUCCCCUUCCUUUCCUCCUCCUUUUCCUCCAUUAUUAUUUUUUAGGAGGGAGGAAAAAAAAAAUAUACCACACACCACACACACACUCGCAACAAACACAUACACAAACAGACACUGAGGUAAUCCAAGUAGUUUUUUUUCAUCGCAUUUUUUCCUCCAUAACACAAAAAAAAGGUCUUGAGCAGUAACAAUAUUUAUAUAACCUUCCCGUCCUUAUUAUUUUCUUUUUCAAGGGUUUACGUAACAACAUUUUAAGCGUACAUACAUACAUACAUACAUACAACGUUUUAAACUUACAUCCAUCCAUUCAUACAUAUAUACUUCCAUUCAUACAUACAUACAUACAUACAUACAACGUUUUAAGCUUACAUCCAUCCAUUCAUACAUAUAUACUUCCAUCCAUACAUACAUACAUACGUGCAUACAUACAUAGCAAGUUUGGGUUUUUGUCAUAUAUAGCUAAUCAUAACAUAAUACAUAAUCAUACAUAGCAUCACACAAAUCAUACAUAAUCAUACAAAAAUACAUAACGAAGGGGAAUAAUGUUAAUAAAAAAAAACAAUCUGAGAGCGUAAUCAGAGUGAGCUGGUGAGAGUGAAAGAGUACUGAUGCUAUUUUGGUUAGGCUAUACCUGUUAAUCUUUUUUAUUUUUUUUUAUUUACCUCUGUUUCCAGUUACUACCUUCUCUAUUCUAUUUUCUGUUAUCCAUUACCUUUUUCACAUCUUCAUUUUCAGUCGUAUUUUUUUCACCUUUUCGGAUCAUCUCUUUUUUUUAAUUCUUUUUCAUUUAUUUCACUUCUUCUAUUCCACUUAUCUUUCUUAUCUCUCCUUUUCCUAUUGCCUUAUUCACCUCUUCUCUCUUCCAGUCACCCUUUUCACCUCUUUUUCCAGUUAUUUUUGUCACCUUGUCCAGUCAUCUUUUUCACAAUGGAUAGUUUUCUCUUGGAUACGUUGAAAACAAAAAUGGGAGUGAAUCAUGUGAGGUGGUAAUGAGUCUUCUUUCUGUCUUUCAUUCUCACCUGUUCUUUCUCUCUCUCUCUUCACACCUGACCUGCUCCUCCUUCCUUUUCCCGUUCCUGUUCCCGACGUGUGUGUGUGUGUGUGUGUGUGUGUGGAUGACGUGAGUUUACAAGAGACGUGUGAUGGAUGAGAUGAUGUAUGGGAAUUUUUGGAUUGGGUAUGUUAUUGUUUUUUUGAUUUAUUAUUGUUUUGAGUUAAUUUGGGUCAUACUUUCUGUGAUUCAUUAAGGGAAACACAAUCAUUUUUAGCCAGUCAUUGUGGUCCAUGAUUUUUUUUAACUCAUUACGAAUUUUUUAAUGUUUAGUGAUACCUUUUUCUUAUAUCGCUUUAAGUCUUUUACUGUUCGAUAUUUUUUGGUUUGAUGUUCUUUGUGUUAUUUUAUUUUAUUUCCCGGGUAUAAUUUUUGCUUGUUCGUUUGUCUGGCUUGUGUUUGGACGGGAGGGAACUGGUGGCAUCAUGCAGAUCAGGUCACGGAGGUCAAGGAAAAAAAAAAAAAGGUCAAAGUACUGCCACGGGGACUGACUGACUGACUAACUGAAUGACUGAUUGAUUGAACAUGCGAGCGAAUAUUAGCUACCUUGCCUCAACACACACACACACACACACACACACACGCAUAAACCGGAAUAAAAAAGACAAAAAGAGUUGAAUCCUGCUAUCGUAAACUUAUAAGAUAUAUACACGGUAACGACACACUUCCAUCACCCACGAAACACAGCGAAGAACGAACCACAAGAAGAACGAAACGAACGAUAUGACGUCACCUUAUAGCCUAAAGCGUUAAAAUUCACUCAACCCGCGACUCACCAAUAAACCGCAACCCACCAUUUCACAAAACCCGCCCAAUCCCUUCCCCUCCCGCCCCUCCCUCCCCCCCUCCCCUUCCUCUACCCUGAUCCAAACAAGCGUAUGUAGAUUUCUGAUAACUUUGAUUGUUUGGUUGAUUUCCUCCACACGACGUUGGGGCUCGAAGUGGGGUGCGGUGGUGGACAGUUUGCCACCACACCGACGUAAGAAAAUGAUGUUGAAAGCAGUAUACGAGAAGUAGGAAAAAAAAGAGAAAAUGGGAGAGAGAGGAGGAAAGUGAGAGAUUAUAGUUUGCAUUAUGAGCUAAUAUAAAUGCUUGAUAGUUUAAAAAAGUCGCUAUCCAGGCUUAUAUAAUUUUUCUUUCGUGCUUUCGUUAGUGCCAAAAAUACUAAGAAAAAAAUGAUAGUGGUGAGAGAGAGAGAGAGAGAGAGAGAGAGAGCGUCUUGGUCUCAUUAUGUGCUUCAGUAUCAUACCUCUUCUUUCAUCAACGGCAAGAGUGUUCUAAAAAGUAAACUAGGGUACAGUGCACUUAAUCCAGCAAAAAAAAAAAAGCUUGAUAAUUUGAAAGGUAUAGUAUUUGACAUGCCUCAUAUUUUUUUCUUUUUUUCUUCUUUCAUCAACGGCAAAAGUGUUCUAAAAAGUAAACCAGGGUACAGUGCACUUGAUCCAGCAAAAAAAAAAAAGCUUGAUAAUUUGAAAGGUAUAGUAUUUGACAUGCCCCAUAUUUUUUUCUUUUUUUCUUCUUUCAUCAACGGCAAGUGUUCUAAAAAGUAAACCAGGCCAGUAACACGUUAAGUCACUCUCUCUCAAGUACACUGUUUACAUUUUUUCCCUUGCGUGGCCUUGCUCAGCUGGCGCGCGCGAGUCUAUUUAUACCACACCACACUUUUUAUUUUAUACCCGCGGCCGGCCUCUCUCUGAUCCAAUGUUUUUAGUUUUGUUUCAUUGCCGGGAGUUGCACCUUUGAAAUGAGAGAGUUUUUACGUGUUCUUUAUCAGCAGCGCGCCUCGUGCCAAGCCUUGAGGUUGAGCCGUUUGAGACGCUGCUGCCGAACUGCUUUGCCCAACCUCUGAUGAAACGGUUGCGUCAUAAGCGGAAAAUCUUGCAAAAUGAAGGAGUACUUUAUUGGUGGCUGUACAAGUGGGUGCCAUCUAACCAAUAACGUUCCCGGAUGUGCGAUAAUUAUUCUGAAAUGCGAGAAUUGAAACAGCCUCAAGACCGACCCGUCAGUUUAACCUCUCCACUCUCGAAAAGCAUAUCAAUAAUCAAGAUUCUGUCGAUAAUUAAGUCUGAUUUAGUACUGUUAUUUGCGUGGAUGCGAUAGUUUUAGGUUCGAAGGAUAUAACUGCAGUGUGCCGAGUACGAUAAUCCGGUGACGCUGAUGGCAACUCGAAAAUGCAUGUGUAGUACAUUUUCCUCGCCCCCAAAAAUAUCAGCCACCGCACGAGUCUCAGGCAAAGAGAAUGAACGAAAGGUUAAGAGAAUAGACAAUGCGAACUGUAAAUGGCGUAGGUGUGAUAUACUUUAGUCAGCUGUCAUAUUACUUCAAGUCGUGACGAAUAGGGUUUACUUUCUUGGCUGUUACAACGUGUGCGGGCCUAGAAAUCACGAAUGUCACGCUCGUAGACACGCCUGCCAACACUCACGCCUCUCGACGCUGCCAGGUAUUUUGAUCUCGAGUCACCGUCCACACACUUUGAACCUCGAAAUGAAUAUAGUAUGAUCAAGAGCUGGUGUCUGAUGCCGAGAAGGAAACGCAGAGACUAAUACCGGUAAUAAUGAUAAAGGAAGAAAAUGAGAAACUGUCCAUAGUAUUUCUACCUUACGACGGAGAAGAAAAUAAUUACAGGUGUGGAAAAGUGGAAAAAUGAAAACAGCCUCAAUAAUGCCACUGUUGAACUAAGAUAUAUGUAGAGAAGUAAGGUGAAAAGAAAAAUGAUAAAUAUGUAAUGACCUUAUAUCCAGAUUCUUUCCACUAACGAACAGGGAAGAAAAAAAAUAAGGUCAAGGGAACGAUGCAAUAAAAACCCUGAAAAUAUAGAAGUAGACAGUUGUUGAUGAAGAGAAAGAGAACCAAUUAACUGCCCGGCGUAUCUUUUCUCUUCAUUUUAAAGAACAAGAAAAAGGAAAGAAAAAGGUUAAAGGGACAAAGAAGAAGGCAAGAGAGAUAGAAGAAGUCGGCAGUUGUUAAGAAGAGAAAGAGAACCAACUGCCCGGCGUAGCUUUUCUCUGCAUUUUAAAGAACAAGAAAAAGGAAAGAAAAGGGUUAAGUAAGAGAGACAGAAAUAGGCAAUUAUUAAAAGAGAAGGAUAGCAAACUGCCCGGCGUAACUUUUGUUUAUAUUUCAUUUUGAAGAAGUAAUGAAGGCAAAAUGAGCGGUCACAAAACUACAUAUAUAGGCCUACUUUUUUUUCGUGUGUGCCGCUAAGACCGACCCUGUUUCUUCCUCUCCAUCCUUCCCUUAGUGUGUUAAAUUAAGACUAAUAUUCUCACGCCCUCGACCCAUCUACGCUGUCCACAAACACGACAAAAAAAAAAAAAAAAAAAAUCACUGAAGCUCGAACGCGAUAUCUUGAAAAAGGUGGACGCGUAUGUAAACAGACAGACGGACAGACGGAUAAACGGACAGACAGACAGACAGACAGACACGUUAUUUUUUUCCUCCUUUAUUGAACAAGCUUACUGUAUUGUUCUACGUCUCUAGAUGACACUGUUACCGAGUUAUUUAUUUAUUUAUCUUCUUCUAGCUAUGAGAGAGAGAGAGAGAGAGAGAGAGAGAGAGAGAGAGAGAGAGAGAGAGAGAGAGAGAGAGAGAGAGAGAGAGAGAGAGAGAUAUGAGAGAAGAAAGAAGAGAAAGGAAGGAAGGAAGGAGAGGGGAGUGAUGAAGAGAGGUAAAUGGAGAAGCAAAAUGAGAGAGAGAGAGAGAGAGAGAGAGAGAGAGAGAGAGAGAGAGACUGAUUAGGUAUCGUGACAGCACCAGACUGUUUAGACACUGAGCAGUAGUAGUAUAUGUGUUAUCAUUGUUAUAGUUUUAUCAUUAUUAUCGGGAAUAUAUUGACCAUUAUGUUGCGGUAUUAUCAGCAUUAGUAGUAUUAGUUGAUAUAGUGAAGGUGGACUCUUCUAAGCGGCAUUUCCUAAAGAUUGUGUUAUUAUUAUUAUUUUUUCUUACGAUUCGCUGAGAGAGAGAGAGAGAGAGAGAGAGAGAGAGAGAGAGAGAGAGAGAGAGAGAGAGAGAGAGAGAGAGAGAGAAGUUCCUGCUAGCACAAUUACAAGUCCUAAGCGUUAUUGAUUUUUUUAGUUUUAAUCGGAAUUCCGUGGAAGCGUUUUAGAAGCAGCGGCUGAGGCGUGGAUCAGCAGCCUAUGCCGCCCCUAGCUGGCCGUGCUGCAUGCUGCCCUCACUCUCCGCAUGCUGAAGCCCCCCCCAGACCCUCCUACACGCUCCCCUUCUGCUGCUCUCCCUUCCUGUAACGCAACUCUGGCUAGCGUUAGAAUCAUCCCCAAGUUGCCAUUUGCUUUAGUUUACCUUCAAAUCUCUUCAUCUGUUUAUAUUUCUUUAUCUUUUCCCUUUUCCUCUUUGCUGCCUCGUCUAUGAAUUCUGUCAGAGAGCUUUAGAUUCAUGUUUUUUUAAUCUCGUGUGUUGCCUAUAGCGCCGGUAGGUUGUCUAGAGGAGCUUGGUUGAUGGCCCCAGCUAGGUAGUGGGUCGGGCGAAUUUGAUUUAUAGUGGGUUCCGUGUAUCACCCACAGUCCUAGCACAGCAACAGCAGGAGUAGGAGCAGCAAUAGAAUGGGGUGGUUAGGAUUGGUCCGGUGGUGUUCCUCUGAGCGGGUCGCAUUGCUAGGCUACUUAACACACAUUGGCUUGAAGCGCGUGACGGCGACUGACUUGGGCCAUUUCUCAGACGUUUUCGGCACUCACAACAACUGUUUCCAAAGGCCACAAAGGAGGGUGGUCGGGUUCUUAGGAGUGUUUUUUCACUUUCACGGUGCAGAAGCCUCAUCAAACUAUCACUAAGCUCAUGAAACUACCCACGCAAAGACCCACAACAACCUCGACGAAAGCCUUACUGAAUGUGGAUGUGUAAGCCGCGAAAUGUUUGAAAAUAUGGUCCUGGCCGAAUUUUCAAACCCUCUCGCCUCUCACAAACUCUUUCCAAAGGCCACAAAAGAGACUGGUCAGGUUAUCAGGAGUGCUUUUACAUAUUCACGGUGCAGAAGCCUUGUCAAACUAUCACUAAGCUCAUGAAACUACCCCUGAAAAGACCCACAAUAGCCUCGACGAAAGCCUUAUUGAAUGUGGAUGUGUGAGCCUCGAAAUGAUUGAGAAUAUGGUCCUGGCCGAAUUCUCAAACGUUCUCGCCCCUCACAACAGCUCUUUUCACAGGCCACAAAAGAGACAGGUCAGGUUCUCAGGAGUGCUUUUACAUAUUCACGGUGCAGAAGCCUUGUCAAACUAUCACUAAGCUCAUGAAACUACCCCUGAAAAGACCCGCAGCCUCUGAGAAAGCCAUGAGAAAUUUUCAAACGCUCUCGCCUCUCACAGACUAUUUCCAAAGGCCAUAAAAGAGACAGGUCAGAUUCUCAGGAGUGCUUUUACAUAUUCACGGUGCAGAAACCUUGUCAAACUAUCACUAGGCUCAUAGAACUACCCAUGGAAAGACAAACAAGAACCUCGACGAAAGCCUUAUCGAAUGUAUGUGCGUGUGAGCGCCGAAACGUUUGAGAAGAUGGCCUCCGUGUCGCCCCACCGAAGCCUACGUCUAGUGCGUCCUGCUACACCCCCUGGCGGCGACCUUGAACAACGCUGCUUGGGCUCAACGUUGCCAGAUUAUCUUACUCUCUAGUCCUGUUUGUUAUUUUUCCCGUCCCUUUCCCUUUUUCUGUCCUUUUUCUUCCUUUCCUUCCUUUUUCUGUCAUUUUUCGUUCCUCUUGAGUUCUGUUUAUCUUUUUCCCGUCCCUUUUCUUCCCUCCCUUUCCCUUUUUCUGUCCUUUUUUCUUCCUUUCCUUCCUUUUUCUGUCAUUUUUCGUUCCUCUUUAGUUCUGUUUAUCUUUUUCCCGUCCAUUUUCUUCCCUCCCUUUCCCUUUUCCUUUUCUUUUCCUCCAAUGUCUUUCCCCCUCGCUCUGUUCAUUCUCCUCCCCGCCCUUUUAAUUUCUCUCCCCUUGUUUCUCCCCUAGUUCUGUUCUCCCCUCCCCCGUCCGUUUUCCUCCCUCUCCCCAUUCUGUUUCUUCUCUCUCCCCCUUUUUUUUUUCUCUCCCCAGCCAGCCCUGUGUUCCUUCCCUCCCCCGUCCCUUCCAAGGAUAAAGAAUUCGGUGGUUGGCCUUUUAAGAACCGUUUGAUAUGUGAGCGAGCGAUUUCGAUAUUCGUAAAAAAAUAGAGACGUAUAAAUAUUCUUGAGUUUGAGGGAAAUAUUGAAGGAUUGCUUUUAUUUAUUUAUUUAUUUAUUUAUUAUUAUUAUUAUUAUUAUUAUUAUUAUUAUUAUUAUUAUGAAGUAGUGUCUCAUGGCUUCAUUCUUUUUUAAUUAUGAAAGUGUUAUUAUUAUUGUUUAUUUAUUAUUAUUAUCAUUAUUUAUGCUCGUUUAAUUAUGAAUACCGUGAAUAAGUUUGCGUUUUUUUCUUUUUCUCUCACAAAAUUUAAAAGGAUAUUAAUUUCUCGUAUAAAAGUCUCUAAAAAAUAAACAUUCUUCCCUUCGUAUUAAUUCUUAAGUAAUUUACCACACAGUUACACGUCCCUCGCCGCCCACAGAGUCGAUUAUACAACGUGCGUCCAGGGUAUCGCUUUUUAAUUAACCUGAUUUUUGUUGUAUCGAUCCCGUGAGUAAUUAUAGUAAAUUGAGAGGCGAGGGGUGACCCAAUCUGGCCUGACGCUCCCCCCCUUCCCCUGGCCCCUCUGUUCCUACCCCCUACCACCACGACCCCCCUAUUCCUCCCUUUGAUACGCCCCUUCCCUUCUAUCAAUGACAAUUUAUGUAAUCUUCCUCGGCCCCGCCAAUUCUUAUUCUUAUUAUUACUCACCAUCAUUACCUGUUCUCUUUCUUCGCCAGGUAAAUGGAUUGACUACAGCGUUGGGCGGGAAAAAGGGAUGUUGUGCGAGAGAAAAAAGGGAUGUUGGGCGGGAAAAAGAAGUUGGGCUAUCUCUCCUGCCUUCACCGCCGCCUUCCAGCCCAAACCGCGGGAGGUAUUCAUACACUGGGCGGGUUUUGUGGCCAUCGCUGUGCCCCUGACCCGUCCUGUCCUAUACUACCCGACCCGAGUGAGUACUUUUGAUUCGGUUUAGUCCCUGUUUUAGUAUUACUCCAAAUCAACCCUUAUAUAUAGAUCCCCCUUUUACCCUUUUUUUUCCCUUUUUCAUCUUUACGUUAAGAAAAAAAUACACCCCAUAGGUUUUUAUUGGAUGCCUUUUCACUAAUUUUUCGCCUUCAUUUAUUUUGUUCCCAUUUUAUUGUCUCUUGAAACCUCCAUCCCACCCUCUAUUGUCCUUAUUCUUUUUAUCUCCGUUUUCAACAUUACUCACAGGAAAAGAAAAAUCCAUCCCGUAGGCUUGACUUUGGAUCCUUUUGCAAUAGUUCAUCUUCGUUAGUUUCAUUCUUUUUCAUGGUCAUUCCAAUCCUCCUUCAACCGACACCCACAGACUCCAAUCCCUCCCUAUUCGCUCACAAACCUAAGCUAAUCUCAAAUGGCUUUAUAAAUUCGCAUACAAUUAAUAUUUAACUUUAUUUUUUAGUUAAUCCAAAAGUAAAUUCACUCUUUUCUUGUUUGUCACGAUCAUGAGGAACUUCAGAACCCUUUAGCUUUGUUAUUAUACUUCUGUCGCGUUUGUCAUAGUUUCCCUGAUAACGAAUAGUGAGCGGUUACGUUUUCCUUUACAGUCACAAAUUCUACGGUAACCCCCUAGAGCGUUUCAAUACAAAGGCCCAUAUCCUCAGACACUUUCAGCUCUCACAACAAACAUUUUCAAGAGCCCACAAAGGAGAUCAGUCGGGUUUUCAUGCGCUUUUCACAUUCACGGUGCAGAAGAAGCCUCAUCAAACUAUCACUAGGCUCAUAAAACUACCGAUUGGAAAUACUAAGACAGCAACCUCUACGAAAGCCUUAUUGAAUGCUGGUGUGAGUGUUUGUAAGCCCCGAAGUGUUUAAGAAUAUGGACUUAACUCUUCGUCUCUUCGCCUGUAAGCCCCGAAGUGUUUAAGAAUAUGGACUAAACUCUUCGUCUCUUCGCCUGUAAGCCCCGAAGUGUUUAAGAAUAUGAACUUAACUCUUCGUCUCUUCGCCUGUAAGCCCCGAAGCGUUUGAGAAUAUGGACUUAACUCUUCGUCUCUUCACCUGUAAGCCCCGAAGUGUUUAAGAAUAUGGACUUAACUCUUCGUCUCUUCGCCUGUAAGCCCCGAAGUGUUUAAGAAUAUGGACUAAACUCUUCGUCUCUUCGCCUGUAAGCCCCGAAGUGUUUGAGAAUAUGGACUUAACUCUUCGCCUGGUUUGAUUGAUCUUGGGACAAAGCUUUAAGGGGAGGAGGUAGUGCUUAGCCUCACUUCAGUCUGCUAUCAUUUCCUAUUCUCGUGUGACCUUUCCAAGCUUCCGUGACUCAUAACCUCCAUCGUUCGCGGUCCUAGUAAGAGAAAGCAUUAUGACAUCAUCCAAAUUCCGCCUGAUUCAUCCUUCUAUUUUUGUUUUUAUUAUUUUUUAUUCAUAUCGUUGUAGCUGUUUUCUUCACUUUUCUUGUUUGUAUAUUCGAGCGUCCUUUUUCUUGGCUGUUAUUUGUUUGUUUAAGGAGAAUUGUCACCGUUUUCUUUUUAUACAAGUUCCUUUGAGAUAAAAAAAAUAAUCGACGCCUCUCGUUCAUUAGGGGGACUUCGAUAAACUAUGAGGAACCACUUAAAACUAAAACCCUGAAUCAAGAACAACAACAACAACAAUAACAACAACAUCAACAUCAUCAUCAUCAUCGUCAUCAUCAACAACACAGCAACACACACACACACACACACACACACACACACACACACACGCACACACACACAUUCUCGACAGGUAAUGAAAAAACUUUGAUUAUUUUUCUCUGGUGAACUAAGAAAAUAUAUUACAAAGAUUCUAACACUCCUUCCUUCCUUCCUUCCUUCCCCUCCUUCUCCUCCUCCUCCUCUUCUUCUUCCUCCUCCUCCUCCUCUUCGUCUUUUUACAACACUCAAGUUAUUGCAUUGUUUGGGUAUUCUGUAUUUCGAGAGAUAGAAAGAGAGAGAGAAAGAGAGAUGGAGAGAGCAGGAGGGAGAAUGACUUGGAUUAUCUACACACACACACACACACACACACACACACACACACACACACACACACACACACACACACACACACACA